GCCGUCAUAGCUCAGAUGGUAGAGCACCUGACUUGUAAUCAGGGGGUCCGGGGUUCGAUCCCUCGUGGCGGCACCA
rnacentral:tRNA from 1 species